GAUGAAGAACGUAGCGAAAUGCGAUACGUAAUGUGAAUUGCAGAAUUCAGUGAAUCAUCGAGUCUUUGAACGCACAUUGCGCCCCCUGGUAUUCCGGGGGGCAUGCCUGUCCGAGCGUCAUUGCUGCCCUCAAGCACGGCUUGUGUGUUGGGCCUCCGUCCUCCUCCCGGGGGACGGGCCCGAAAGGCAGCGGCGGCACCGCGUCCGGUCCUCGAGCGUAUGGGGCUUCGUCACCCGCUCUUGUAGGCCCGGCCGGCGCUUGCCGACACAUCAAUCUUUUUUCCAGGUUGACCUCGGAUCAGGUAGGAUACCCGCUGAACUUAAGCAUAUCAAUAAGCGGAGGA
rnacentral:misc_RNA from 1 species